UACGGAGGGUGCAAGCGUUAAUCGGAAUUACUGGGCGUAAAGCGCGCGUAGGUGGUGAAGUCAGUCAGAUGUGAAAGCCCAGGGCUUAACCUUGGAAUUGCACCUGAUACUGCUUCGCUAGAGUAUGGUAGAGGGGUGUGGAAUUUCCUGUGUAGCGGUGAAAUGCGUAGAUAUAGGAAGGAACACCAGUGGCGAAGGCGACCACCUGGACUGAUACUGACACUGAGGUGCGAAAGCGUGGGUAGCAAACAGG
rnacentral:misc_RNA from 1 species